rnacentral:rRNA from 1 species
AGCGAACGCUGGCGGCAGGCCUACACAUGCAAGUCGAACGGACCCUUCGGGGUUAGUGGCGGACGGGUGAGUAACACGUGGGAACGUGCCUUUAGGUUCGGAAUAGCUCCUGGAAACGGGUGGUAAUGCCGAAUGUGCCCUUCGGGGGAAAGAUUUAUCGCCUUUAGAGCGGCCCGCGUCUGAUUAGCUUGUUGGUGGGGUAAUGGCCCACCAAGGCUACGAUCAGUAGCUGGUCUGAGAGGAUGACCAGCCACAUUGGGACUGAGACACGGCCCAAACUCCUACGGGAGGCAGCAGUGGGGAAUCUUGCGCAAUGGGCGAAAGCCUGACGCAGCCAUGCCGCGUGUAUGAUGAAGGUCUUAGGAUUGUAAAAUACUUUCACCGGUGAAGAUAAUGACUGUAGCCGGAGAAGAAGCCCCGGCUAACUUCGUGCCAGCAGCCGCGGUAAUACGAAGGGGGCUAGCGUUGCUCGGAAUUACUGGGCGUAAAGGGAGCGUAGGCGGACAUUU